AGGACGAACGCUGGCGGCGUGCUUAACACAUGCAAGUCGAGCGGAAAGGCCCUUCGGGGUACUCGAGCGGCGAACGGGUGAGUAACACGUGAGCAACCUGCCCUUAGCUCUGGGAUAGCUCCGGGAAACCGGAAUUAAUACCGGAUACGACCUAGGCCGACAUCGGCCGUGGUGGAAAGUUUUUCGGCUAGGGAUGGACUCGCGGCCUAUCAGCUAGUUGGUGGGGUAAAGGCCUACCAAGGCGACGACGGGUAGCCGGCCUGAGAGGGCGACCGGCCACACUGGGACUGAGACACGGCCCAGACUCCUACGGGAGGCAGCAGUGGGGAAUCUUGCGCAAUGGGCGAAAGCCUGACGCAGCGACGCCGCGUGGGGGAUGAAGGCCUUCGGGUUGUAAACCCCUUUCAGCAGGGACGAAGCGAAAGUGACGGUACCUGCAGAAGAAGCGCCGGCUAACUACGUGCCAGCAGCCGC
rnacentral:rRNA from 1 species